AAUUGGGAAAAUGGGGAAAAAUGGAAAAAUUGGGGGAAAUGGGAAAAAUGGGAAAAAAUUGUAAAAAUUGGGAAAAAAUUGUGAAAAAUGGGAAAAAAUGGGGGAAAAAUGGAAGAAUUGGGGGAAAUGGGAAAAUGGGAAAUUGGGAAUGGGGGGGAGAAGGAAUUGGGGGGGAAAGUUGGAAAUGGGGGAAACUGGGAGCACUGGGGGAAACUGGGAGGGCACUGGGAGGUUACUGGUUGUUACUGGUCCAUACUGGUCCAUACUGGUCCGUACUGGUGGCCCUUGACCCCUCAGACCUGGAGUUCCUGGAGGUUACUGGGGGUUACUGGGAGGUUACUGGGAGGUUACUGGGAGGUCACUGGGUGUUACUGGGAGGUCACUGGGAGGUCCCUGGGUGGUUACUGGUCCAUACUGGUCCAUACUGGUGUCACUGGUGGCCCUUGACCGCUCAGACCUGGAGGUCACUGGGGGUUACUGGGGUUUACUGGGGGUUACUGGGAGGUCACUGGGUGUUACUGGGAGGUCACUGGGAGGUUACUGGUUGUUACUGGUCCAUACUGGUCCAUACUGGUGUCACUGGUGGCCCUUGACCCGUCAGACCUGGAGUUCCUGGAGGUUCUGACCGAGGGCCUGGGGCCGGUGCUGCUGGUGCGGGACGGGGACGGCGAGGGAGACCAGUAUGGAACUGGGAGCACUGGGAGCACUGGGAACGGCGCUGGGGAGCCCUGAGAGACCAGUGCUCCCAGUAUGGAACUGGGAAUGGAACUGGGAGCACUGGGAAUGGAACUGGGAGCACUGGGAGACCAGUAUGGAACUGGGAGCACUGGGAGCACUGGGAACGGCGCUGGGGAGCCCUGAGAGACCAGUAUGGAACUGGGAGUGGAACUGGGAGCACUGGGAGCACUGGGAACGGGGCUGGGGAGCCCUGAGAGACCAGUAUGGAACUGGGAGCACUGGGAGCACUGGGAAUGGGACUGGGAGCACUGAGAGACCGGUAUGGAACUGGGAAUGGAACUGGGAGUACUGGGAAUGGAACUGGGAGUACUGGGAAUGGAACUGGGAUGGGCCCAGUGCUCCCAGUAUGGGACUGGGAUGGUCCCAGUGCUCCCAGUAUGGGACUGGGAUGGGCCCAGUGCUCCCAGUAUGGAACUGGGAUGGUCCCAGUGCUCCCAGUAUGGGACUGGAAUGGUCCCAGUGCUCCCAGUAUGGAACUGGGAUGGUCCCAGUGCUCCCAGUAUGGGACUGGGAAUGGUCCCAGUGCUCCCAGUAUGGAACUGGGAUGGGCCCAGUGCUCCCAGUAUGGGACUGGGAUGGGCCCAGUGCUCCCAGUAUGGAACUGGGAUGGUUUUUUGCACUUUGAUCUCACCAAAGACCCUCAAUAAAUGACCCAAAAAUGGAAUUUUUGGGAGAAAAAGGAGCCGGAAGUUGCAGUUCUUGACCGCGGA
rnacentral:lncRNA from 1 species